rnacentral:rRNA from 1 species
UACGUAGGGGGCGAGCGUUGUCCGGAUUUAUUGGGCGUAAAGAGCUCGUAGGCGGCCUGGCAAGUCGGGUGUGAAACCUCCAGGCUCAACCUGGAGACGCCACUCGAUACUGCCAUGGCUAGAGUCCGGUAGGGGACCACGGAAUUCCUGGUGUAGCGGUGAAAUGCGCAGAUAUCAGGAGGAACACCGGUGGCGAAGGCGGUGGUCUGGGCCGGCACUGACGCUGAGGAGCGAAAGCGUGGGUAGCAAACAGG